CGAUAUUUCGUUGGAUGUUACACGAUCGCACGCCGGGCACCGCUCGCAUUUUAGUCCUGUUACACACGAAAAAUAAUAACGAACGCACGAACGUAACGAAAAAUUAUCGGCACCGUGCACGCGACGCCAUUUUCAUUUCUUGGUCGUCCGUCUCUGUCCCACUCUCGCGAUUCAAACGCUGUGUAGUUCCAGUGGACGUCGCGGGAACUCAGGGCAUUUCGUUAGGCGCAUCCGGCUAAUUCGUUUCAAUUUUUUGCUCCAGUUAUUUUCUUCUUUUUUUUCGGUUUUCCUUCGAUUGCGGAUGACGGAUGAUUGAUUGGUUCUGAGAUGAUUUUUCAAUUCAAUCGAACCAUUUCCGUCGAUGGAACUGCUAUUGUUGUUGCUGUAACUGUUGCAACAAUGGACACACUUCGACCAAAGGAGUUCCUAAAAUCUCCUGGCAUACUUGAUUCAUGUCGGGUUCCAUCAUAAGCGACGAAAUCUGAUCUUCCGUUAACAUCUCCACGCUACAUUCCACACAACAGGUUCAUCAAGGAGGGUGACUAUUAUUUUAAUUGGUCACAAUCAGGAAUUACACACAGAUCGACCAUAAGAUCUAGGAAAAAUAGUUGAAUUAUACGUACAUCCAAAUCAACUUCAAGCUUGUUGAUAUCAUCGGUAGCAGUAUUUAAUCUUUCAAGUUCAAUCUGGAAAGAUAAUAGUUUUUACAGACUCAGUAGUAUAGCGUUACUAUGGCAAAUCUAGGAUCAGAGAAAGGAGGAAUGAACAAAAAUAUAGAUCACUUUGCAACGUGACAAAUAGAACAUGCAGCCGUGAAAACAUAGGUAAUUUAUGGUUUUCGUGAGAGAUUCGAGAAAGGGAUAUAGCAUAAGGUAUCUAUACGACGAACGAGGUACAAUCAAAACGUU